CCUACGGGAGGCAGCAGUGAGGAAUAUUGGUCAAUGGACGAGAGUCUGAACCAGCCAAGUAGCGUGAAGGAUGACUGCCCUAUGGGUUGUAAACUUCUUUUAUAAAGGAAUAAAACGCGGCACGUGUGCCUUUUUGCAUGUACUUUAUGAAUAAGGAUCGGCUAACUCCGUGCCAGCAGCCGCGGUAAUACGGAGGAUCCGAGCGUUAUCCGGAUUUAUUGGGUUUAAAGGGAGCGUAGAUGGGUUGUUAAGUCAGUUGUAAAAGUUUGCGGCUCAACCGUAAAAUUGCAAUUGAUACUGGCAGUCUUGAGUACAGUUAAGGUAAGCGGAAUUCGUGGUGUAGCGGUGAAAUGCUUAGAUAUCACGAAGAACCCCGAUUGCGAAGGCAGCUUACUAAACUGUGACUGACAUUGAUGCUCGAAAGUGUGGGUAUCAAACAGGAUUAGAUACCCUUGUAGUC
rnacentral:rRNA from 1 species